UACGUAGGGGGGCUAGCGUUGUCCGGAAUCAUUGGGCGUAAAGAGCGUGUAGGCGGCCCGGUAAGUCCGCUGUAAAAGUCAAAGGCUCAACCUUUGAAUGUCAGUGGAUACUGCCGGGCUAGAGUCCGGAAGAGGCGAGUGGAACUCCUGGUGUAGCGGUGAAAUGCGCAGAUAUCAGGAAGAACACCCGUGGCGAAGGCGGCUCUCUGGGCAGUAACUGACGCUGAGGAGCGAAAGCGUGGGGGAGCGAACAGG
rnacentral:rRNA from 1 species